rnacentral:rRNA from 1 species
GACGAACGCUGGCGGCGUGCCUAAUACAUGCAAGUAGAACGCACAGUUUAUACCGUAGCUUGCUACACCAUAGACUGUGAGUUGCGAACGGGUGAGUAACGCGUAGGUAACCUGCCUGGUAGCGGGGGAUAACUAUUGGAAACGAUAGCUAAUACCGCAUAAUAUUAAUUAUUGCAUGAUAAUUAAUUGAAAGGUGCAAUUGCACCACUACCAGAUGGACCUGCGUUGUAUUAGCUAGUAGGUGAGGUAACGGCUCACCUAGGCGACGAUACAUAGCCGACCUGAGAGGGUGAUCGGCCACACUGGGACUGAGACACGGCCUAGACUCCUACGGGAGGCAGCAGUAGGGAAUCUUCGGCAAUGGACGAAAGUCUGACCGAGCAACGCCGCGUGAGUGAAGAAGGUUUUCGGAUCGUAAAGCUCUGUUGUAAGAGAAGAACGGGUGUGAGAGUGGAAAGUUCACACUGUGACGGUAUCUUACCAGAAAGGGACGGCUAACUACGUG